AAAAAAGGAAAACAAAUGUGGAAUCAAACAUCAUCUUGAUCAGGAAACGAUUUUGGCGCCUUUUCAAUUGUGCCUCCUUUGUGAUUGGGAAUUCCCACUAAAAAGUUCAUGAAAUCACUCAGCUCUCCUUGCCGAUCCAUUAAUAAAUGCCCAAUCACGGAAGAGUUACUAAGUUCAGGAAGAGAAUUUGGCACCUUAAUUUCAGUUAUAGCCCCUCUCCCUUGAAAGAGAGCAUCAUUGAUUGAAGGGACUUUGACAGGAUAUACACUUGGCCAAGAGAUUGAGUCAUUGAGUGAAUUAUUACACUUCAAUGUUUUGAAGGAAAAACUCAUUGGUGCCAACAAUCAACAGUCGUUCAUUUUAAUCAGUUUGACAACUCCAAGCCAUGGCAGGCCAAGAACCGUACUUCGAUCCAGAGAUACACUGCAUUUCUUUGGACCCUAGAAAGCUAGACGCCAGAUUGAAAAUCGAACAUCGUAACCAUUGCCUGGUGGAAGUAUUUUCAACAAAGAACUCCACAAAUGCUAGGAGCACGAUACGAUCAAAGCUGAAUGCUCGCCUGACAAGGUAUGACCCUUACCUUGAGUUUUCCAUGUACUUGGGGCAAGGAAAUGUGGAAU